rnacentral:rRNA from 1 species
CUUAGGGUGAAAGAUAAAUUGCCUGAACAUGAGCUCGCGUCUGAUUACCUAGUUGGUGUGGUAAGAGCGCACCAAGGCGGCGAUCAGUACCUGGUCUGAGAGGAUGAUCAACCACACUGGAACUGAGACACGGUCCAGACUCCUACGGGAGGCACCAGUGGGGAAUUUUCCGCAAUGGGCGAAAGCCUGACGGAGCAAGACCGCGUGAGGGAGGAAGGCUCUUGGGUUGUAAACCUCUUUUCUCAGGGAAGAAAUUUGACGGUACCUGAGGAAUCAGCAUCGGCUAACUCCGUGCCAGCACCCGCGGUAAUACGGAGGAUGCAAGCGUUAUCCGGAAUGAUUGGGCGUAAAGCGUCCGCAGGUGGCCCUUCAAGUCUGCUGUUAAAGCGUUUGGCUUAACCAAAUAAAGGCAGUGGAAACUGAAAGGCUGGAGUGCGGUAGGGGUAGAGGGAAUUCCGGGUGUAUCGAUGAAUGGCGAAGACCUCGGAAUUAACGCCGUUGCUGAAAUCGCUCUACCGACCUUGACUUGCCUUGAGGAACAAA